CACGUAGGGUGCGAGCGUUUGUCCGGAAUUAUUGGGCGUAAAGAGCUCGUAGGCGGUUCGUCGCGUCGGCUGUGAAAACCCGGAGCUCAACUCCGGGCCUGCAGUCGAUACGGGCGGACUUGAGUGUUGCAGGGGAGACUGGAAUUCCUGGUGUAGCGGUGAAAUGCGCAGAUAUCAGGAGGAACACCGGUGGCGAAGGCGGCUCACUGGCCCGGUACUGACGCUGAGGUGCGAAAGCGUGGGGAGCAAACAGG
rnacentral:rRNA from 1 species